rnacentral:rRNA from 1 species
UACAGAGGGUGCGAGCGUUAAUCGGAAUUACUGGGCGUAAAGGGCGCGUAGGCGGAUAUGUAAGUGAGAUGUGAAAUCCCCGGGCUUAACCUGGGAACUGCAUCUUAAACUGUGUAUCUGGAGUGCAGUAGAGGGUAGUGGAAUUUCCGGUGUAGCGGUGAAAUGCGUAGAUAUCGGAAGGAACACCAGUGGCGAAGGCGGCUACCUGGACUGACACUGACGCUGAGGCGCGAAAGCGUGGGGAGCGAACAGG